rnacentral:rRNA from 1 species
AUGACGAGAGCUUGCUCUUGUUGAUGGCGACCGGCGCACGGGUGCGUAACGCGUAUCCAACCUGCCGUUUACCCGGGGACAGCCUUGCGAAAGUAAGAUUAAUACCCGAUGUUGUGCGGAAUCCGCAUGGUUUUUGCACCAAAGGUUCAUUCCGGUAAGCGAUGGGGAUGCGUACGAUUAGCUAGUCGGCGGGGUGACGGCCCACCGAGGCGACGAUCGUUAGGGGUUCUGAGAGGAUGGCCCCCCACACUGGUACUGAGACACGGACCAGACUCCUACGGGAGGCAGCAGUGAGGAAUAUUGGUCAAUGGGCGCGAGCCUGAACCAGCCAAGUAGCGUGCAAGGGAGGACUGCCUUACAGGUUGUAAACUGCUUUUAUGGCGGGGGUUAAAGUUUGGCACGUGUGCCAUUUUGCAAGUACCGCAUGAAUAAGGACCGGCUAAUUCCGUGCCAGCAGCGGC